UCCGUAAAGGGGAGUAAUUAGCAGGCUGCCAUUUCUUAAUUUCAUUGUAAUGUCCCUUGUUUUUGGCGGUCUAAUAUUCGCUUUUUUUCUUUUCAAUUUUGUCAUUGUUAUGUCCCUUGUUUGCACUUUUUUAUUAUUCGCUUUUUUUCUUUUCAAUUUACAUUUUCGUAAUUAAAAUUAUUUCAACCUCCAAGCGCUAUAGCUUCAUACAUUUUCCCGGAACCUCACCAUCUUGACGAAAUUACAUAUUGUAUGGAUCUAGAUCGAGAUCUAGAAGAUCUAGAUCUAGAUCUAGAUCUAUAUCUAGAGUAAGAUCUUAAACUAAUUCUUUGGUUUCGAAGUGACCAACCCAUUUUCAAAGUCAAAGUUCGAUGACGCGCUGCAAUUUAAAAUUCUUUGUUGACAGUUUGCUAUUUAUCACUAGAUCUAUCAGCUGAGUCCACAUUCUGGCUUUGGCUGUACUAAAGACUUUAGGGAAGAAUCUGAUCUGGAAUAUGCCAAACAUCAUUAGAUCUAGAUCUAGAUCUAGAUUCUAGAUUCUAGAUCUAGAUGUACACAUCAAAGGAAGAAGCUUCGACGUUCGAAGCCGGUGGGGAGAUAUUUGCUCACAAGACAAACGUGUGUGCCUCAGUGACAGAGACCUGGUCUAUCUCCUGGACACGAGGAGAGAGCAAAGGUCAACCAGAAACUGGAGGAGGCUGUUUCCAUCUGUACUUUUUACCUGUGCUGAAAGUGGCUUGAAAGAGCACCAAAACUGGUCCCUCACACCGGUGGAGCAACUGGCUGUUGCUAUGGAGAGAAGCUUUCUACGUAAAACAUCAUCUUUUUCCGAGUUGAGCAUUCCAAAAAUUCCUGCUGGCCCAGCCACUGGAGGUGAGGAUGUUUCUGAAAACUUGCACAACAGGCGUGAUCCCAACAGUCGUCUGUACCUGAGUGCCAAAGAAAUCUCGCCCUUCCUUGAGAUACAGCCAUAGUUCUCAACACUACACUCAACCAUUCACCUAAGAAACGCGAUUCUACAGACGGGCAGUGUUCCCUGCCGUAUGUGAGAGACGAUCCCUGUGGUCUGAGGCCGGUCAAGCCAGUGCCAAUAUGGAGUCAGUAUCUCUCUGACCGCUCCUCUCUACCUGUGUGUGGGAAGAAAACGGUGGUAGGGGAGAAUGUCAAAAAAAUAUAAUUGAUGUCUUCAGAACGUCAGAACCUGACAGAAAUGUUCAGCUAUCUGUCCGGAGAACAUUCACGACGCUACCAUGUUGAAGGGGACAUCAGCGCUGCUUACUCAGAGAUGGUCAUCAACAGGAUCUGUCGGUAGAUUUGACUGGACGAAAGAUGAAGCAGACAAAGAGAUCAUGUGGACAACUGAGUGGAUCUGUGUGGAUCGGAAAAAACCCUCAUGUCUAGCUCAUCCCGAAUAUUCCCCACUAUUUUUAGCUCAUCCCCAGUAUUUUUUUAUAUGAUCUCUAUUAUUUUCGAGCUCUUCUCUAAUAUAUUCCAGCUCAUUCCGAAUACUCCCUACCUUUUUUUUUAGCUCGUCCCCAGUAUUUUCUAGAUGAUCCCUAUUAUUUUUCAGCUCAUCAAUAUUUUCCUGCUCGUCCCCAGUAUUUUCUAGCUGCU